GACGAGGUGACCGAGCGGUUAAGGUGAUGGACUGCUAAUCCAUUGUGCAUUGCAGGCAUGUGUUCGAAUCCCAUUCUCGUCG
rnacentral:tRNA from 1 species